UACGAAGGGGGCUAGCGUUGCUCGGAAUCACUGGGCGUAAAGGGUGCGUAGGCGGGUCUUUAAGUCAGGGGUGAAAUCCUGGAGCUCAACUCCAGAACUGCCUUUGAUACUGAGGAGCUUGAGUCCGGGAGAGGUGAGUGGAACUGCGAGUGUAGAGGUGAAAUUCGUAGAUAUUCGCAAGAACACCAGUGGCGAAGGCGGCUCACUGGCCCGGUACUGACGCUGAGGUGCGAAAGCGUGGGGAGCAAACCGG
rnacentral:rRNA from 1 species